rnacentral:rRNA from 1 species
AAGUCUUGAAAGUACUUUUGUAUAAUCUAGUAAAACUUAUAGCAACGGAUCUCUUGGCUCUCGUAUCGAUGAAGAACGCAGCGAAAUGUGAUAAGUAAUGUGAAUUGCAGAAUUCAGUGAAUCAUCGAAUCUUUGAACGCAUCUUGCGCUCUUUGGUAUUCCGAAGAGCAUGUCUGUCUGAGUGUCACGAAACUCUCAACCUCCUUUCCUUUGUGAUCGGCUGGUUGGAUCAUGGGCGCUUGCCGGCCAGGUCGGCUCGCCUGAAAUGCAUUUGCGAUGUUGUGUCCUUGUGAGUUGGCCCGACUAGGCGUGAUGGUAACGACGUUCGUCUAGGAUCCCGCUUCGGCGAGGAGCCGCUCCUGUUGGGCGUUUGCCUUCGCAUGAACACUCAUAUCUUUGGUUUAGACCUCAGAUCAGGCAGGAUUACCCGCUGAACUUAAGCAUAUCAAUAAGCGGAGG